GCCUGGAUAGCUCAGCAGGUUAGAGCAUGGUGCUGAUGAUGCCAAGGUUGCAGGUUCAGUCCCCGUAUAGGACA